UCUUAUGAACAAAGAAAGUGGUUUCUUAAGAUAGAAUCUACUCCUGGUGCAGUUCCUGUGAA
rnacentral:pre_miRNA from 1 species